UAUCUCAGCAGGUAAAGAAUCUGCCUGCAAUGCAGGAGACCCUGGUUCAAUUCCUGG
rnacentral:tRNA from 1 species